GACGAACGCUGGCGGCGUGCUUAACACAUGCAAGUCGAACGGAAAGGCCUCUUUCGGGGGGUACUCGAGUGGCGAACGGGUGAGUAACACGUGAGUAACCUGCCCCUGACUUUGGGAUAACUUCAGGAAACUGGGGCUAAUACCGGAUAGGAGCUCCUGCUGCAUGGUGGGGGUUGGAAAGUUUCGGCGGUUGGGGAUGGACUCGCGGCUUAUCAGCUUGUUGGUGGGGUAGUGGCUUACCAAGGCUUUGACGGGUAGCCGGCCUGAGAGAGUGACCGGCCACAUUGGGACUGAGAUACGGCCCAGACUCCUACGGGAGGCAGCAGUGGGGAAUAUUGCACAAUGGGUGGAAGCCUGAUGCAGCAACGCCGUGUGCGGGAUGACGGCCUUCGGGUUGUAAACCGCUUUCGCUCAUGACGAAGCUUUGUGUGACGGUAGUGGGUAAAGAAGCACCGGCUAACUACGUG
rnacentral:rRNA from 1 species